AGAUUGAGAGGGGACCAAUUGCUAGAGAGUGAGAAGGCCCGAACCGCUGCGUUGGAGGCCUCCGUAUCCGAUUGCAUCUCCGAGGAGCAAUAUUACGAGAUGUGUCGUCGUCUUAGCUUGGUUUGGAAGGAGGCCAACAAUUAUCAGAGCAUCGCCGAGUUGGAUGCUUUGGAGGCCUGUUCCUGCCAGGAAUUAUUGUUGAAAACGCGAGACGCUGGGGAUUCCAACCAAAACAUUACCUCCGGUAUCCGGGCAAUGGUGCAAGAUGAGAGAGACAGAGGCUGACCCGUGGCCACAAAUCCAGUCCGUCUGGGAUGAGAUUGAAGCUGCAGAGAAGCGUGAGAGCCCUUCAAUUCCCGAGGAGGCCGCCCUGAGAGAGGUCGAUCAACUCAUGUCGGUGGAACUGUCAGAUCAAUACUGCCAAAUAGCCAAGCCCCAGGAGGCCGGCUGAGGUAUUCUUCCAUAAAUGUAUGUUGUGCCGGAUCAAGACAGCCUUGGUGUUGUCACUAUUGUUCUUCAACAGAUGUCCUAGGCGCUGACCCGUGUGGCAGGUUCGAUGUGGAUCUCGCAGGAUGUUGAUGUCCUCUUGGGUCCGUUGAUCGAACGUGUAGCUGGAGCCCCGGAUCGCUUGGUCGACCUCCAAGAAGCUGUCGCCAAGGAAGGAGCAGGACCCGUGCUUGCACGCUUGAGGUUGCGCUAUCCUGGGGUCUCCACUCAUGUUGUUGCGACCUCCGUUCCUGAGAACCGCCCUCUGACGAAUUUCUUUGAAGAAGUCAAGGACACCGCCUUGAUGGUGGCGACUGGAUGUGAGCCUGAAAGAGUAGGAACAUUUGUUGGUUGUGUGUGGCGUUAGGCCAUGUCAACUUUGUUACAAUUUUUAUGUUUCAACUUUUGUAGUUUGAAUUCUUGGUUGAUGCCUUUGGGCAAAGUUUUGACUGACCAAGCGCAUGUGGGAGGCCUAAGGUCGCGUCAGCCGUCAAGUUGGUUAUUAUUAUGGCGGGGCAUACCCGCGAGAAAUUAUUCAGCCUCCGACUUGCCGUUUGGAUGUUCCUUUGUUGCAAGGGCCACCGCCUAAGUUUUGCGGCUUGUGGCCCUAAGAGGUC